UAACGGGGCGAUGAAGCGGCAACAGCUCAGAUUUGAAAUCUGGCCUCUUUGGGGUCCGAGUUGUAAUCUGUAGAGGAUGCUUUUGGCGACGCGCCUUCCGAGUCCCCUGGAACGGGGCGCCAGAGAGGGUGAGAGCCCCGUAUGGUUGGACGCCGAACCUCUGUAAAGCUCCUUCGACGAGUCGAGUAGUUUGGGAAUGCUGCUCAAAAUGGGAGGUAAAUUUCUUCUAAAGCUAAAUACCGGCCAGAGACCGAUAGCGCACAAGUAGAGUGAUCGAAAGAUGAAAAGCACUUUGAAAAGAGGGUCAAAUAGCACGUGAAAUUGCUGAAAGGGAAGCGCUUGUGACCAGACUUGCGCCCGGUUGAUCAUCCAGCGUUCUCGCUGGUGCACUCUGCCGGGCUCAGGCCAGCAUCGGCUCUUCCAGGGGGAUAAAGGUCGCGGGAACGUAUCUCUCUCCGGGGAGUGUUAUAGCCCGUGGCGGAAUGCCCUUAGGGGGGGCCGAGGCCCGCGUUCGCAAGGAUGCUGGCGUAAUGGUCACCAGCGACCCGUCUUGAAACACGGACCCAAGGAG
rnacentral:rRNA from 1 species